rnacentral:rRNA from 1 species
GAUAAACGCUGACAGAAUGCUUAACACAUGCAAGUCAACUUGAAUUUGGGUUUUUAACUUAGAUUUGGGUGGCGGACGGGUGAGUAACGCGUAAAGAACUUGCCUCACAGCUAGGGACAACAUUUAGAAAUGAAUGCUAAUACCUGAUAUUAUGAUUUUAAGGCAUCUUAGAAUUAUGAAAGCUAUAUGCACUGUGAGAGAGCUUUGCGUCCCAUUAGUUAGUUGGAGAGGUAACAGCUCACCAAGGCGAUGAUGGGUAGCCGGCCUGAGAGGGUGAACGGCCACAAGGGGACUGAGACACGGCCCUUACUCCUACGGGAGGCAGCAGUGGGGAAUAUUGGACAAUGGACCAAAAGUCUGAUCCAGCAAUUCUGUGUGCACGAUGACGUUUUUCGGAAUGUAAAGUGCUUUCAGUUGGGAAGAAAAAAAUGACGGUACCAACAGAAGAAGUGACGGCUAAAUACGUGCCAGCAGCCGCGGUAAUACGUAUGUCACAAGCGUUAUCCGGAUUUAUUGGGCGUAAAGCGCGUCUAGGUGGUUAUGUAAGUCUGAUGUGAAAAUGCAGGGCUCAACUCUGUAUUGCGUUGGAAACUGCAUGACUAGAGUACUGGAGAGGUAAGCGGAACUACAAGUGUAGAGGUGAAAUUCGUAGAUAUUUGUAGGAAUGCCGAUGGGGAAGCCAGCUUACUGGACAGAUACUGACGCUAAAGCGCGAAAGCGUGGGUAGCAAACAGG